rnacentral:sRNA from 6 species
AUGUAUCGCGGAUAGACGUCGGCUCCGAGCGCGCCGUCCCUUCUCCAGCUGACGGCCGCUCGCCAGGUUUUUUCAGCC